UACGUAGGGUGCUAGCGUUGUUCGGAAUCAUUGGGCGUAAAGCGAGUGUAGGUGGUCAGUAAAGUCGGGUGUGAAAGCCCACGGCUCAACCGUGGAAGUGCAUUCGAAACUAACUGGCUAGAAGAUGGUAGAGGGAGGUGGAAUUCCUAGUGUAGAGGUGAAAUUCGUAGAUAUUAGGAGGAAUACCGGUGGCGAAGGCGGCCUCCUGGGCCAUUCUUGACACUGAGACUCGAAAGCGUGGGUAGCAAACAGG
rnacentral:rRNA from 1 species